rnacentral:lncRNA from 1 species
AGCUCCAUUCGGGAAAAAUCUCUCUCUCUAAACUGAUAGUUCCUGCUGAGUGGUAGAAAGGGAAAUUAGGUUUUUGAUUUUGAGAAGCAAUCUUCUGGGUUUUGACAUUUAAGGCAUAAACUACUCAUUGAAACGCAUUUGUUUUCGAUUAUCUGGUCUUAGCCACAUCUUAAUUAUUCGCAAAUUUCUAGCCCCAAAUUUCAUUUUGUUCUUAUUCGAAUCGAUAUCUGAGUAAGAGUAUGUCCGUGUUAUUAACCCAUCUUUCUUAGUGGUUGUGGAGUGGAAAACACCAAGAGCCCAAAAGACUCUCCAAUGGAUCUUCUUUAAAUUCUUUUCAACAUUCAGGUUUGUGGGAGUCGGAUGCUUUGAAAUUCCCUUUAGUUAAGGGGCUUCUUCGUUGACAUUUCAAUUUUUUUUUUCUCCUAGAACCUCUUGAUUCUUUGAAUCUCAAAGUCUCCCAAUCUCCCGAACCUCGAUCCACGCAGAUCUUCGAUUUCUGCUAUUGGUUUUUUUUUUUUGUCUUCGUUGAAUGUUCAACCUAGGGUUUUGAUUUUGUCUAUUCCAGUUAUUGCUUCGAUCUCUUGGAUCUCGGUUCUGAAUUUACCCAGGGUUUGAUCGUUUGAUUGUUGGAUUGUUUGGUUGAUCUCAUGGAGGCGAUCGAC